rnacentral:rRNA from 1 species
GAUGAACGCUGGCGGCGUGCCUAAUACAUGCAAGUCGAGCGAACAGACGAGGAGCUUGCUCCUCUGACGUUAGCGGCGGACGGGUGAGUAACACGUGGAUAACCUACCUAUAAGACUGGGAUAACUUCGGGAAACCGGAGCUAAUACCGGAUAAUAUAUUGAACCGCAUGGUUCAAUAGUGAAAGACGGUUUUGCUGUCACUUAUAGAUGGAUCCGCGCCGCAUUAGCUAGUUGGUAAGGUAACGGCUUACCAAGGCGACGAUGCGUAGCCGACCUGAGAGGGUGAUCGGCCAAACUGGAACUGAGACACGAUCCAGACUCCUACGAGAGGCAGCAGUAGGGAAUCUUCCGCAAUGGGCGAAAGCCUGACGGAGCAACGCCGCGUGAGUGAUGAAGGUCUUCGGAUCGUAAAACUCUGUUAUUAGGGAAGAACAAAUGUGUAAGUAACUAUGCACGUCUUGACGGUACCUAAUCAGAAAGCCACGGCUAACUACGUG